UUGUUUUGUUUUGUAAUGCUCACAUUAAUGGGGGAUAUUUGAAACUCUGGAAGUUCCUCAGAUUUGGUCUAUGUAUUUUUAAACAUGGACAUUUAAUUGGCCUGCACUAAAGAUAUAUUUAUGGGACCAUAAAAUUGGACCAUAGUUGGUCACUAGAUGGCAGCAUUACAUUUUUGUAUAAAUUCAGUGUACGCCUCUAUGGCAAUUAUCACUUGAGGAAGGGCUGAGCUAGUCCCGAAAUUUAUGAGCCACACGUGUUUGUAAUCUGCACCUCCAAUAAAACUGGGAGCACCGCACUUUGCCACCUAACAGGAGAAGCCAACUUACUCUGCCCUCAAGAAAAAGUGACACCAAAUUACUCAAGAGACAUCAACUUUCUCUAAGAAGUGAAACCAACUGACCCCCAAGAAAAAUAAUCUACUUACUCUGAAACCAAGAAGAGACAAUAACUGACUUUACCCCAGCAAGGAGUGUUUCCAGGGGAGAGACUAACUUGCCUUUCUAUAUGAGACAGUAGGCAUUAAGGUUUCCCCACCUCUUACUUUUCAAAUACUAGAAAGACAUUUAAGCCAUUCUGUCCCAACAAAUUAAUAUCUUGUCAUCAUUGGAUAAAUCCUUUAUUUACCUAGUACUGUAUAUACUGUACCAUAGAAAAUGGUUAGUGUAUAAAGCAUUUCCUUAUAGCUUGAAUCAUCCUUUUAAUUAAUUAAUAAAUCUGCUUGGCCUUA